AAUCACACCUUCUCUCGAGUCCAACUGUUUCACCAUCCUUCCCCCACCAGCCCGGCGCCUCUUAGCAAUUCCCCGGCUGUCAGCUCUCUACCUGCCUGGCUCUGGCUGCUCCGCUCAGAGCUGCUCCCCUGGGCCUCCCUGGCUUGUCAGUGGGCUGCGUCAGCAUCACGCCACACUGUCUCCCGUUGGCCCGGUGAUCAACGCCUGACGGGCCGGCCCUCUCUCCCCUCUUAGCUGGGGCCAAUGGGAGUCAGGGGAAGGUUUUGGUUACAAACGAAAAUAAAAUAAAUAAG
rnacentral:lncRNA from 1 species